rnacentral:rRNA from 1 species
GACGAACGCUGGCGGCGUGCCUAAUACAUGCAAGUCGAGCGAAUUGAUGGGAGCUUGCUCCCUGAUAUUAGCGGCGGACGGGUGAGUAACACGUGGGUAACCUGCCUGUAAGAUUGGGAUAACUCCGGGAAACCGGAGCUAAUACCGGAUAACAUUUCGAACCGCAUGGUUUGAAAUUGAAAGAUGGUUUCGGCUAUCACUUACAGAUGGACUCGCGGCGCAUUAGCUAGUUGGUGAGGUAACGGCUCACCAAGGCAACGAUGCGUAGCCGACCUGAGAGGGUGAUCGGCCACACUGGGACUGAGACACGGCCCAGACUCCUACGGGAGGCAGCAGUAGGGAAUCUUCCGCAAUGGACGAAAGUCUGACGGAGCAACGCCGCGUGAACGAUGAAGGCCUUCGGGUCGUAAAGUUCUGUUGUUAGGGAAGAACAAGUACCAGAGUAACUGCUGGUACCUUGACGGUACCUAACCAGAAAGCCACGGCUAACUACGUGCCAGCCGCCGCCGUAA